rnacentral:lncRNA from 1 species
AGCAUAGGUCUUGUUCAGGCUUUGCUCACACAGUGCUUUGGUUUAGAAAGCAAUAGCAGUCUAUGUCCUCUUGUUCCUUGGCUUGUUACUUUCUGGGAGGGACAUUUCAGCGAUCUAAUGCUCCCCAGGCAGGAGCAAGAAGGCAGGAGAGUGACUGCUGGCCUUCCCCAGAGGACAGUCUUAUGGCAUUGGUUAUUGAGAGGGGAGUCAGUACCCAGACAGUCCAGGGUUCUCUGUGGAGCAAGGAGGGAUAGGAAGGGGAAAAAACAAAAAGAAAAAAACUAAGCAAGUACAGAGAGCUGCAGGGGGAGAA